rnacentral:rRNA from 1 species
UACGAAGGGGGCUAGCGUUGCUCGGAAUCACUGGGCGUAAAGCGCCCGUAGGCGGCUUUUUAAGUCAGGGGUGAAAUCCUGGAGCUCAACUCCAGAACUGCCUUUGAUACUGAGAAGCUUGAGUCCGGGAGAGGUGAGUGGAACUGCGAGUGUAGAGGUGAAAUUCGUAGAUAUUCGCAAGAACACCAGUGGCGAAGGCGGCUCACUGGCCCGGUACUGACGCUGAGGUGCGAAAGCGUGGGGAGCAAACAGG